CAAACGACUCUCGGCAACGGAUAUCUCGGCUCAUGCAUCGAUGAAGAACGUAGCGAAAUGUGAUACUUGGUGUGAAUUGCAGAAUCCCGUGAACCAUCGAGUCUUUGAACGCAAGUUGCGCCCGAAGCCAUUCGGCCGAGGGCACGUCUGCCUGGGCGUCACGC
rnacentral:rRNA from 1 species